GCGCACCUGGGCGGCGAAAGGAAACGUAUUUCACGCGCCCUCUUCAGGCUCAAAGAAGGAUAGCAUCGCUUCAACUCCUGAAGAGAAAAGGAUCUUCCCAGGUGUUGAUGUCAGGCUGAUUGGUAAUUUCCUGGGUCUGGAUUUUUUUCCUUUUCAUUUUUGGAAGAUGGGAACCACAUCAUCUCUCUUUUAGUCCUCAGGGGGAAGAACUUUAUGGCAGAGGUUUUAGAUUGCCCCAGUACAAUAGUGCUUGGCCAGAAGUAAUAUGCCUAGUUAUCACCUUCAAGCAACUGGCUGCCCAGUGGUCACCAGAGCCCAGGAGAAAGCAGAUCUCAACCUUCCCAGUGAUUUAAGCGAGGAGCUGAAAAAAGCGCUGAAAAGUGAUAACUGGUUCCUGUCCCACUCAAAUGAGUGCACCAUAUGAGAUAGCCUAGCAGGGAUUGGCGCGAAACUAUACAUCCCCGCCAGUCUUAGGGGAACUGUGCUGCAACGGGCCCAUGAUUUGAAGUCUGCUGGAUACAUUGGCUUCAUGAAAACUUUACACCUAGUCAAAGUCACAGUUCUGGUGGCCCUCAUUGAAAAAAGACAUAGAAACCUACGUGGCCAGCUGUCCUGUGUGUGCUUCUGCUAAGAGCCCCCCCCCCCCCCGGGAAGCCUGCUGGACUCCUUCAGAGUGUGGCCAGUCCUAGUUCCCCAUGGAAGGAAAUAUCUAUGGACUUCAUUGUUGAACUAUCUGAGAGCGGGGGAACACAGUCAUUUGGGUGAUCACAGGCUUAUUUUCCAAGCAGGUGCACUUUGUACCCUGCUCCAAGAUCCCUUCUGCAAAAAUGCUCGCCAAACUGUUUAUCCAACAUGUGUAUAGGUUACAUGGGUUCCUGACUGCAUCAUUUUGGAUGGGGUACAAUUCACCUCCCAUUUCUGGAGGGAGUUCCUGAAGUUGUUUUUUAUAAUUUGAUUUAUAUGCUGCCCUUCUCCGAAGACUCAGGGCGGCUUACAAUGUGCUCAGCAAUAGCCUUCAUCCUUUUGUAUAUUUAUACAAAGUCAGCUUAUUGCCCCCACAAACUGGGUCCUCAUUUCACCUACCUUAGAAAGGAUGGAAGGCUGAAUCAACCUUGAGCCUUGGCGAGAUUCGAACCCUGCAGUAAUUGCAGGCAGCUGGUCUUAAUAAGCUUAAUAACAGGGUGCCUUAAACCCCUGUGAAGUUGUUAGGUUUCACCCAGGGUCUAAGCUCCUCCCACCACCCUCAAACUAACGGGGCUUGUGAAUGUUGGAAUUCGGUUCUGGAACAGUACCUCAGGUGCUAUGUAAACUACCAGCAGGGCAAUUGGGCCAACUUGCUGGCUUUUGCGGAGAUGGCUUACAAUAACUUGAUGCACAGUAGCACCGGCUUCACCCCAUUUAAAGUUGCUUCUGGUCAGGAUUUCGUACCCAUUUCAGAAUUGUCUCAGGGGAAACCCCAGAUAUCUUCCUUAGUGGAAUGAAUCUAAUGGAAUGGAUAGAAAAGCUUCAAUGUAUUUGGCCCAUCACCCAUAAGGCACUAGACGAAGCACAUCAAGCCCAUAAAAGACAGGCUGACAAGAAAAGAGCUAUACCAAAAGGUCCAAAUAGGGGACAGGGUCUUCCUAUCUACAAAGUACUUACAGACCACCCAGAAAUCAAAGAAACUGGGACCUAAAUAUCUAGGCCCUUUCCCUAUUGUUAGGAUUGUAGAUCUGGUCACUGUACAGUUAGAGCUACCCAAAACCCUUAGAAAGAUCCACCCUAUGUUUCAUGUUACCUUGUUGAAACCUGAGAUGUACAGUAUCUCCUCUUCGACCAGGCCAAGCUGCCCCUCCAAUUCCUCUCCUCAUUGAAGGUGAACAACACUUCAAGAUCAAAGAGAUCCUGGAUUCCAGGAAACAUAGGAGGAAAGUACAGUAUUUGGUGGCUGGGAAACAUCAAAUUAACCAAAACUUCUUUGAGAAUGCAAAUAAACCAGGGAGGUGGUUAGCAUAUAAAUUGAAGAAACAUAAGGAGAAAAGAUGGAUUAAUAAACUGCAAAAUGAGGAAGGAGAGAUGUGCUAUCAGAAUGAGGAGAAAAAGAACAUAGUGCAGGAAUAUUAUAAGAAACUGUAUGAUGUUAAGACAGAUGUUCAAAAGAUAAAGCAAUAAACUGUUUAAGGAAAGCCUCGCUGCCUAAAGAAACAAAAAAUAUUUUAUUUAUUUAUUUAAUUUGAUUUGUAUGCUGCCCUAUCUCCAUAGGACUCAGAGCAGCUCAAAACAAAAUCAAACCAGAUAAAAACAUAUUAAAAUACAAAUUAAACGUAUGUUAAAACUCAUUAAAAUAAUCAAACCCCAUCAGUCCAGGCUGGGCGAUUUAAACAGCCAUGUCUUUAGUUCGCAGUGGAAAGUGCGAAGGUCAGGGGCCAAAUGGAGCCCCAGGGGGAGUUGAUUCCAAAGGGUGGGUGUGCCCACAGAGAAAGCUCUACCUCUGGAGGCUGCCAGCUGACAUUGUCUAGCCGAUGGCAUCCUGAGUAGGCCUUCCCUGUGAGAAUGCACUGGGUGAUGGGAAGCUGUUGCUGGUUAUAGAUGGUCCGACAAAUAUCCUAGGCCUAAGCCAUGUAGGGCUUUAUAGGUCAUCACCAGCACCUUGAAUCUCACCCGGAGGGCAACCGGCAACCAAUGCAAGUCGCGCAGAAGAGGUGUAACAUGGGAGUAUCUGCACCCUCCAUCACAACCCGCGCAGCCGCAUUCUGUACCAGCUGAAGCCUCCGAGUGGUCUUCAAGGGCAGCCCCAAGUAGAGAGCAUUGCAGUAGUCAAUACGGGAGGUGACUAGCAUAUGAAUAACUCUGCGUAGAGCAUCUUGGUCCAAAUAGAGGCGCAACUGGCGCACCAGGCGAACCUGGGCAAAUGCCCCCCUGGUCACAGCUGUUAUAUGAUCUUCUAAACUCAACAGUGAGCCCAAGAGGACACCCAAGUUGCGUGCCCUGUCUACAGGGGGCAAAACUUCACCCCGUAUAGCCAAAGAUGGAACCUCUCUAUCGGACCAAGAUGCUGGUACCCACAGCCACUCGGUCUUGGCAGUGUUGAGCCGAAGCCUAUUCCUCCCCAUCCAGACCUGCACCACUUCCAGGCACCGGGAUAUCACGUUGAGGGCAUCACUGGGCUGAUUCGGGGUGGAAAUGUACAGCUGGGUAUCAUCAGCAUACUGAUGAUACCUCACCCCGAAACCACGGAUGAUCUCUCCCAGCGGCUUCGUAUAAAUGUUGAACAGAAGGGGUGAGAGGACCGACCCCUGUGGCACCCCACAAGUGAGAGGCCUCAUGGUCGACCUCUGCCCCCGCCAACAUCGCUUGCAUACAACCUGAGAGGUAAGAGGAGAACCACCGCAAAACGAUUCCUCCCACUCCCAACCCCUUGAGGUGUCGCAGCAAGAUACCAUGGUCAAUGGAAUCAAAAGCCGCCAAAAGAUCUAAUAGGACCAGAACAUAGGAGUAACCUCUGUCCCGAGCCCUCCAGAGAUCAUCCACUAGCGCGACCAAUGCCGUCUCCGUGCUGAAUCCGGGCCUGAAACCCGAUUGGAAUGGAUCAAGGUACUCCACUUCAUCCAGGGCCACCGGGAGCUGACAUGCCACCAUGCUCUCAACAACCUUUGCAAGAAAGCGAAGGUUGGAGACCAGAUGGAAAUUACUCAAAAUAGCUGGAUCCAAGGCAGGUUCUUGAGGAGGGGCCUAACCACCACCACCUUCAAGGCGGCAGGAAAGCUUCCCUCCUCCAAGGAAGCAGUUAUCACUGCCUGGAUCCAGUCACGUGUCACCUCCCGAGCUGAAUAAACCAGCCAGUUUACUGGCACGGGUCCAGUACACACAUGGUCGCACUCAGCUUCCCCAUGAUCCUGUCCACUUCCUCAGGGGUAACAGGAUCAAACUCCUCCCAGAUGACAAGACCCGCCGCCUCCCCACCGUCUGAUCCUGUCCAGUAACAGUCCAAGCCAUCCCGAGUCUGAGCAAUCUUGUCCAGCAGAUGCUGACUAAACUCCUCGGCUCACCCUCACAAAGGGUCCUCCCCCACCCUCUGAUUCAAGAGGGAGCUGGACACCCUAAACAGGGCAGCCGGGCAAUUAUCUGCAGACGUGAUGAUAUCGGAGAAGUAGCAACGCUUUGCCACCGCCAGCUCCAACAGAUAAGAUCGUGCGAACGACCUCAGCUGUGCUCAGUCAAAUUCGGAAUGACUGGUUCUCCAACAGCUCUCUAGGCCUCUCCUCCGGCGCUUCAUCCCCCGGAGCUCCCUGGUAAACCAAGGAGCCAACCGAGAUCUGCGUCGAGUCAGAGGCCACAAAGGCACGACACGGUCAAGAGCCCCGGCGGCCGACUCAUCCCAGGCAUCCACCAGGGCUGCGACCGGGGCGUGGGAGAGAGAGAGAGGUAUCCUUCCAAGCUCCAUCUGGAACCUCUCCGGGUCCAUCAGGUGCCUGGGGUGGAACCAGGUGGUUGGUUCCGCAUCCCAGUGAGGAGGGGUGGCAUAAUGGAAGCCUAGCCGAAGGAGAUAGUGAUCAGUCCAUGACAGGGGGUAAAUAGCAAAAAUUCCCCCACCAAACUCAGCCCGCCACUGUUCCGAGAUAAAAACAAGAUCGGGAGUGUGGCCCCCCCCUCAUGAGUCGGGCCCUGAAUAAUCUCAGUCAUGCCCAUGGCUACCAUGGAAGCCAUGAACUCCUGAGCCACACACACCCCCCACCCAGGGAAGGCAGAUUGAAGUCCCCCAGUACAAUAAGUCUGGGAAACUCCACCACCAGCCCUGACAGGGCGUCAAGUAGCCCGGGCAGGGCCGUUGUUACGCAGCUGGGAGACAGGUACGCAAUCAACAGGCCCAACUGCCCUUGCGGGCCCCAUCUCAUGAGGAGAUGGGGCCUCACACCCAUCCAUCUGGGGAACAGUGACCUCCCGCGGACUUCCCGAAUAACAACCACCACCACCCCUCCCCUACCCUGGGCCCUCAGCUGGUGUAGCACCCGGAAACCUGGUGGGCAGAGUUUUGUCAGAGGGACACCUCCCUCUGAGCCCAACCAGGUUUCCGUAAUGCAAGCCAGGUCUGUGUUUUCCUCCUCAAUCAACUCACGAAUGAGGGGAGUUUUGUUAACCACAGACUUGGCAUUAAAAUAGACCAGCCUGAGCCCAGUGAUCUCCUCUCUCAAACCCCCAGGAAGUCGGAUGGAACCAAGAGGGUCGGAGCAUGUCACCGCUCGAAGAUAGUGAGGGCGAGCUCCCAGAUUUUGAUACAGCCCUCGGUUCAUCCAUCUGCCUCCAUUCCCCAUCGCAACUAGGAUCAGAGCUCCGACCCUUUCCCCCGGGGCAUCCGGGGACCCCAGCCCCACUCCAACCCCACCGCUACCCAUCCACGGCCUGGACUGCCAUUGGUCCGGAGGAGCCCCCCCCCCCCAGCAGCCUGCUGGAUAUCAUAACCCUCCCCCCUCCCCAAUCCCCUUAAAAACUUAGAUAAAAAACUAUACAAAGCCCCCUUAUUAAAACCCCUAGAACCCGUAUGCCACCUCUCAGGAUCCCAAGACCUGUCAUUAAGGUAGAUCUUUGACAGGCCAGCAGGCCACUCCCAGAAAUAGGGGACAUUCCUCAGGCCAAUCAAAUCCGUGAUCGCAUAUGUCAAAACAUUUAACAAAAUAUGUUAAAUGAAGAAAUAAGGAUGCCAGAAUUAAUAGAGGCAAUAAAAAAAACAAAAGAAUAACAAAACACCAGGCCCGAAUGGGUUGCCAGUAGAAAUGUAUAAAGAAUUGAGGACCCAGUUUGUGAA